UAUUCGGCAAUGGGGGAAACCCUGACCGAGCAACGCCGCGUGAGGGAAGACGGUUUUCGGAUUGUAAACCUCUGUCCUCUGUGAAGAUGAUGACGGUACCUGACUAAGAAGCCCCGGCUAACUCCGUGCCAGCAGCCGCGGUAAUACGUAGGGGGCAAGCGUUAUCCGGAUUUACUGGGUGUAAAGGGAGCGUAGACGGCGAAGCAAGUCUGGUGUGAAAACCCGGGGCUCAACCCCGGGCCUGCAUUGGAAACUGUUUUGCUCGAGUGCCGGAGAGGUAAGCGGAAUUCCUAGUGUAGCGGUGAAAUGCGUAGAUAUUAGGAGGAACACCAGUGGCGAAGGCGGCUUACUGGACGGUAACUGACGUUGAGGCUCGAAAGCGUGGGGAGCAA
rnacentral:rRNA from 1 species